rnacentral:snRNA from 1 species
AGAUGUGAGGGCAAUCUGGCUGGGACAUCUGUCACCCCACUGAUGGCCAGGGUUGAUUCCGCUGAUCUGGCUGGCUAGGUGGCCUCACAGCUCCACGUGUGACCCUGCUGACGUUGUGUGCUCAGCCGAAGAGGACAACCUCACAGACCUAGGGGGACCGUUUCCUUGGUCAAGGGCAUGGGAGCAGCUGCACUCCCCUGCUAGAAGCUCCAAAUAAGCUCUCCAGAAAACACAACUGAAUAGUGAAUGAAAUAACUUAACUUUACAGAUCCUAAGCUGUCCUGUGAUUACUAAAUUAGGUACAGUUUG